rnacentral:rRNA from 1 species
CAGGGGGAUAAGCGGAAGAAAUUCCGUCUAAUACCGCAUAAUACAAUUUGGAGACAUCUCCGGGUUGUCAAAGGAGUGAUCCGGCAGAGGAUGGACAUGCGGCGCAUUAGCUAGUCGGCGGGGUAACGGCCCACCGAGGCUACGAUGCGUAGGGGCUCUGAGAGGAAGGUCCCCCACACUGGUACUGAGACACGGACCAGACUCCUACGGGAGGCAGCAGUGAGGAAUAUUGGUCAAUGGGCGGAAGCCUGAACCAGCCAAGUCGCGUGAGGGAAGACGGUCCUAUGGAUUGUAAACCUCUUUUGCAGGGGAACAAGGCGCGGUACGUGUACCGCGAAGGAGAGUACCCUGAGAAAAAGCAUCGGCUAACUCCGUGCCAGCAGCCGCGGUAAUACGGAGGAUGCGAGCGUUAUCCGGAUUUAUUGGGUUUAAAGGGUGCGCAGGCGGACUGUUAAGUCAGCGGUAAAAUGUCGGUGCUCAACACCGGCCGGCCGUUGAAACUGGCAGCCUUGAGUGAGCGAGAAGUAUGCGGAAUGCGUGGUGUAGCGGUGAAAUGCAUAGAUAUCACGCAGAACUCCGAUUGCGAAGGCAGCAUACCGGCGCUCAACUGACGCUCAGGCACGAAAGCGUGGGUAUCGAACAGGCUUAGAUACCCUGGUAGUCCACGCAGUAAACGAUGAAUGCUCACUGUCCGGGCCGUUUAAGGCCUGGGUGGUCAAG